rnacentral:hammerhead_ribozyme from 1 species
AUUAGCUGACGAGUCCCGAGUAGGACGAAACGAGCGUCUUGGAU